GGGUUGUGAGGUUAAGCGACUAAGCGUACACGGUGGAUGCCCUGGCAGUCAGAGGCGAUGAAGGACGUGCUAAUCUGCGAAAAGCGUCGGUAAGGUGAUAUGAACCGUUAUAACCGGCGAUGUCCGAAUGGGGAAACCCAGUGUGAUUCGUCACACUAUCGUUAACUGAAUACAUAGGUUAACGAGGCG
rnacentral:rRNA from 1 species